CACCCGCAGCUCGAGUGGUGGUCACUAUUAUUGAGCCUAAAGCGUUCGUAGCCGGUUUCGUAAAUCUUCAGUUAAAUUCCUCUGCUUAACAGAGGAGCUACCGGAGAGACUACGAGACUAGGGACCGGGUGAGGUUGGAGGUACUUCCGGGGUAGGGGUAAAAUCCUGUAAUCUUGGAAGGACGACCGGUGGCGAAGGCGUCCAACUAGAACGGAUCCGACGGUGAGGAACGAGGGCUAGGGGAGCAAACCGG
rnacentral:rRNA from 1 species